UUUGAUUACCUUCAACAUAAAAAAAAAAAAAGCAAAAUAAGAAAAACUUUCUUCCCACCAAACUUCCAUCUCUAAUGUAUUCUCUCUCCUUUUAUAAAAAAAAAAAUAGACGGUCAGCUCCUUCCCCCAAACUAUACAGCCGGCCAAAUCAAAUUUCCGGCCACCAUCAAUUGCCGGCCAGUUGUGCCGAUUCCCGUAUUCAGGGGAUCUACCGUUAGCUUCAAAAAAUCAUUGGUUGAUUGUAAAACAGAGAAAAAAUUGAUGCGUCCGCCUACUCCAUCCAAGGUAUAUUACAAAAGGCCAUGUAAAAGAGAGUGGCGAAUUCGUGGACGAGACUUCACGAAAAGUUGGACUGAUUUUUUCAAAGAAAGAAAUCUGGAAACUUGGAGGAUGGUAAUCCUAAAACGGACAACGAGUUAUUUUUGGAAGCCUUAUUUGGAUGGAAUAAUGGAAGAGUGCAUGGUCUUGGAAGUGAUAUUGACAAUUUUAUGUAAAACCAAACAACAAACCAAGUUCAAAGAAAGUGUGGAAUGAGUUAGUGACUAAUUUUACAAGUAAUGUUUGAACACCUCUCUUCAAAAAAUUUGGAACAGGAGAAGGAGAUUGAAGAAACAAAGAUAGUCCUAAUUGAAGUAACAACAAAGCUCAUCGAAACAGAAAAAAGAGCUUGAUGAAACAACAAGACAACUUAAUGAAACGACAUAUGCUAUGAAGGAUAUGCAAGCUCAGAUCCGUUUCCUAACUGAAAAUGCUUUUUUGCCCCAAUCUUGAAGGCUGAGUAUUAGAAGAAAUUACAUGUCUCUAUGUUUUCUCUCUUUGGUUGAAACACAUUUUGGAAAAUUAGUUUAGCAAAUAAGGUUUUGUUUCAAUUGAAAGCAGGUACACAACUCACAAUUUUCAGUGGAUUACAAAGUGCAUAUAUAAUUUGGGUUUAUAUUUGUAACAUUUUCAACUUUAUUUAGGUUAUUGGAUAUAUUUUGUAAUUUUUACGGGAUGAACUUGUUUUUUAGGCUUUAAAUUGAUCUUUAAUAAAAGUUUUUA